GUAACUGCAGGUGGCAACCUAAGAAAUGAGGUCAGGGGAGACCUCUCUGCGACAGCAAUAUGAGAUCUGUCACCGAAAGGUUGAGAUGGAGCCACCUGUGUGAAGAACUGGAGAGAGGCAUGCCAGGACUAGGCAACAGGUACAAAUGCCCAGAGCUGGGCAAAGGCAUUUCAUUUUUGAGAAAUAAAAACUAGGAGAAGUCUUUGAUGAAUUUUAAGUUGGGAAGUGACAACGUUCUGAUUUAGGCUUUCAUCUCUUGCUAUGGCAAGGAAAUCUAUUGGAGCAUGGCAAGAAUGGCAGCAAGUGAGCGGUGAGGAAGCCAUUCCUGUUGUCCAAGUGAGAGAUGAUGUGUUUGCACUAGAGGGUGGCUAUGGGGAUGGAGCAAUUCAAGAUAUAUUUUGGCAGCAUAGUUUGAUGAUAUCUUGAGAUAGUUGAUGUUAUAUGUAGAUAUAUUUUAGUGGUAUAUCCUAUUUGGUUGGUAGGACUUAGAUUUGGGUGUUGAAGUAAAAGAAAUGAAGCAAGCCUUUAACUUAUGCAAUGUGGUGAAGGCUGCGUCAUUUACUGGGAAGAUAUUUGUAUAUUUAGGAUGUCUAUUAUGAUUGAGCAUAAAUGAGGCGCCUGUUGGUGGGGGCGAAGAAGUACUUAAAAAUUACAUCACUCACUCUUAUGUCUAGAUGUAUAGACUACAAAUUAUCUGCAAAAAAUAUUCUAGUUCAGAGAAGAGUUAUUUGAAAGGAAAUUCUUAGUUAUGUAAACAACUAAGUAUCGAUGGUUUUAAAAGCAGGGCGUAAUAAUAACUUUUAAAAAAGUGUUUCAACAUAAUCUGCCUCAUGACUUCAUAAAGAGAACUCGACCUUGGAAGUUGAUAGAUCAGCUUGCAAAAGGAGCCCAGGCCUUCUGCAGCAACAGGCCCAAAUCACUAACCUCUGCUCCUUGAGACUCAAAGUUAAAUAGACUUGGAAGGGAAGACAGGGUGGUCUCGCCCAAGGCUCAGGAGCUGAAACUGCCAAGGAGGCCCCUGAAAUAUGCUUGAGGAAAGGGCAAGUGGAGGGCGGUAUCCCAGCCUACACUUGUUGAGUGGUCUCUACAGUGUGUGACUAAGGCUAGCCAUGAUGACAUAGUGACUCAUAGAAGGUUUUGUUGUGGUGAACAAUGGCAGAAUGUCUGCAUGCCACUAAGAGACCUAGAAGUUCAAAGUCCAAGUUCGGAGCCCCAGUGUGAGGCUGACAGGCAUCCAGACCAGCAAGGGCAUCACACAGAGUAAAUAGGCAUCUGUUGGACUUUGGGCAGUCUUCACAGUGACACCAGGCGCCAGCCAGAAGUGAUGAAAAUCCUGAGUGGAUCAGUCAUUCCAGACCUCUUCAUCCCAACCCAUUCUCUGCACUGAGUGAGGAAACUGCAGGCCUGAGAGGAAGCCCACCAAGGCCACGUUCACACAGCUCACAGGAAACCUGGCUGGGACGUGGAUCUAGAUGUGCCGACAGCCAAACUCCUGUGGUACAAUGAGGACUCCUGCAGGCGGGAUUGAACUAAAGACUACGUUCUGCCUAAAGAAGAGAAGAACAGAGAGAGGAGGAUAACGUAUUCAAUGGUGAAUGAAUAAACAGAAUAUGGUGUAUCUGUACAAUAGAAUACUACUCAGCAAUAAAAAUGAACUGAACUACUGAAAACAACAUGAAUGAAUCGCAAGAUAAUUAUGGUGAAUAAUGAAGCCUGACAAAAAAUGAUUAGAAAAUGCUAACUAAGCGAUCAUGGCAGAAAGCAGGGAGAAUAAAGUAAUUAAUGCAAGUCAAAGAUAAACUCAAGGAUACAACUGAGCCUCAAGACAAGGAGAAGCACGGAGUUUGAGGCAGGAGGAGCAAAGAAGACCAAACUCUCUAACUCAUGAAGAUCUCAUCCCUCUAUUGCCUAAGGGCUGUUGAACACCUAUGUCAAGGAAGAGAUCGUGAUCGGUGUUGAAAGGAACAUAUGGAGGAAGAUGCUGUUCCUGACCUCAAGCAUUCCGACAGAUCCCCAAAUGAAUAUUUCCCAAGGACCAUUUAAUUGUAAGAAACAGAAGCAUACUGGAGAAAGCAGAAGUGAAGACCAGAUCCAGGGAGACUCCAGAGUCCAAGGGCAGGAAGAAAGGCCUCGCCUCACAGCUGAAAUGGACUCAGAACUAGGAAGACAUCAGAGCCCAUGGCCGCUUAUUUCUCCAACUCUCCCUCUUUCCAAAACCACAUCCUCUGUCAUCUUAAUGCUCUCUGUUUAUCAAAAACACAUGGCCCACAAUGAAUGCCCCUCCAUGGUGGCCUCAGUUGCUAUAUGACCGUAUAUGUCUAGAUUUUGUGGCCAUUAAUACAGUCUCUGGGUCAAACUCUUUGUUCAAGUAUCUAAUGCACUAUUGCUGGGGGAAUAUGUGAUAUUGAGAUCUGUCUCUUCCAUGUUAUGGAGGGUCAAAUUCUCCAAGAAGGCUGUAUGGAGGAGAAUAAAUGAUUGUCAUCACUAACAUGCCCUAUUAAAAUGAUUCUCAAUGUGAUGGAGACGGGUGUCUAUCCUUCAGAUUGCAGUAUAACACUGUAAAAAACCACCACUACUCAUAGGAGUAUAUCAUGUCCUUUAGUUUUGUUUGUCUGGAUAAAAGGGAGAAAAUCAUGCUCUAGUACGAUUUAUAAUAAUAUACGAUGUUAUGGAGAAAAAGCUUUGUUAUUUGCAGAAAUAUUUUAUUUGGAACUAAUGCAAAUAUAUGAUAAAUGUUGUUCCUUGAAAUAUUUAGUUUAGGAUAUAUUGUUAAACAACAACUGGUAAUUAAAUGGAAUUAUUGAGAUGAUAAUUUGCGUUACUUUGAUGUGCUGUAAAUGUCACAUUUCUUUUGGCUCCUUAAUCUGAGCUACAUAUUUGCUUGCCUUCUGUGUAUUUCUUGUAAUAUUUAUGCUUAGCGACACAGGAGUACCAAUAAGUACCACAAUAUUAUAGGCCUAUCCAACAGCAGAAUGUCUAGCCUAUUGGUAGACUUUAAUGAUAUUAUCAUGUCUCUGUCCCAGUACACCUUGUAGCAAUUUUCCAACACAUUUCUAGGAUUACAUUUAUAAUGCAGUAUUAAUCCAUUUGCAAAAUCACAUCUGAGGUCGUAACAUUGACCUGCAAAAUUAACAGUAUACUCGUGCUGUUCAUCCAGCCGCUAAGUAUAACCUCCAAUUAUUUUAUAAUUGUUUUGAUGAGUGUAGUUUCUUUUGUACAUGAAAAUAAUAAUCCUUUCUCAGCUGAACUUACCCUUGGAUUGUUUCCCCUUGUGAAAAAAAGUCUCACAUUUAUAAAUCAGUUGAUCCAGAUUGGUGGUAUUUUCCAAGAACAAAGUACAGUGUCUUUCUCUAUAAAAUUCUAGUUUACUCUAUGAGUGAGAAUGUGAUUUGGAGCUAUUGUCAUGUGUCUGUGCAUCAAGUCACAUUUUCUGAGUGUCCAUAAUAUUCAAAGCAGUGUUCUAGAGGUGUAGGUUCCAAAAGAAUAAGAUAGUCACUGUCCUCAAAGAGCUUCUACUUGUUAGGGAACAGUCACUGAAACAUUAAACCUGAGUAAUUAUGACAUGUGUUAUAAAAGACAAGAGGGAUGAAUAAAUGCCAUGGGAGAACAGAAAAAGACGUUAUUAAUAAUUCUGGGAGUGACACAAGAAAAACUGCAUACGACAUGACCUUUGAGUUUGGCUUUGAAGGAAGAAAGAUAAAUUCAGGUGAAAGACAACAA